UACCUGUGUACUUCCUCGACAACAAGCUCAGGGUCGGAAACGGGCAAAGACGAAGCGAGAGC
rnacentral:sRNA from 1 species